AUUGAACGCUGGCGGCAGGCCUAACACAUGCAAGUCGGGCGAGCGGCGGACGGGUGAGUAAUGUAUGGGGACUGCCUGAUGGAGGGGGAUAACUACGGGAAACGGUAGCUCAUACCGCAUACCAUCAGCAAACCCAUAUGGGAUGAGCUUGUAGGUGAGGUAAAUGCUCACCAAGCCGACGAUCUCUAGCUGGUCUGAGAGGAGGACCAGCCAUACUCGUACUGUGACACGGCCCAGACUCCUACGGAGGCAGCAGUGGGGAAUAUUGCGCAAUUGGGGCAACCCUGACGCAGCCCUGCCGCGUGAAUGAAGACGGCCUUCGGGUUGUAAAGUUCUUUCGGUAGCGAGUCGUUAACUACAGAAGAAGCACCGGCUAACUCCGUGCCAGCAGCCGCGGUAAUAC
rnacentral:rRNA from 1 species